rnacentral:rRNA from 1 species
AAGAGUUUGAGGUUAAUUAGGUUUGGUUUUAUAAUAAAUAAUUAUAAAUUUUUUAUGGUUUUCUUAAAAAGGUUAGAAUCAGAAAAUAAAAUUUACUUAAUAACUUAAAGUAAUUGAUAUAUUUAUAAAAUAAUUUAGCUAAUUUUGUGCCAGCAGCAGCGGUUAGACAAAAAAAACUUUUUUUAAUUCAAUUAUUUUUAAGAUUAAUUAAAAAAGUUUUUUUUUGUAAAGGUGAAAUUUACAAGAAACAUUUAAUUUUCUUUAAAAUAUAAAUUCUUUGGAUAAACUAGGAUUAGAUACCCUACUAUUAAGAGCUUUAAUAUUGUGAGUAUAUAAAAAAUAUGAAAACAUAAAAUUAUGGCGGUACUUUAAGCUUUUCAGAGGAAUUUGCUCUUUAAUGGAUAAAACGCCUUAACCUUACUAUAAUUUGUUAUUGCAGUUUGUAUACCACUAUAAAAGUAAUAGUUAAUAACUAUUUCUUAAAUUUUUAUUAAAAAAAAUAAAUUAAGUCAUGGUGCAGCAAAAAUUUUAGUAUGAAGUGAAUUACAUUUCUUUUAAGAAAGUUUUAAUUGAAAUUAAUAACUAAGGAUUUGAAAGUAAAAAUUCAAUAAAAUGGAAUUUUGAAUUAAGUUCUGAAGUAUGUACAUUAACCGAUAGACAGGAGUUGCGCAAAAAAAAUCUUUUUUUCAAUUUGGCAAAGAAAUGCAAU